rnacentral:rRNA from 1 species
UACAGAGGGGGCAAGCGUUGUUCGGAAUCACUGGGCGUAAAGGGCGCGUAGGCGGCCCGCUAAGUCGAACGUGAAAUCCCCGAGCUCAACUCGGGAACUGCGUCCGAUACUGGCGGGCUUGAAUCCGGGAGAGGGAUGCGGAAUUCCAGGUGUAGCGGUGAAAUGCGUAGAUAUCUGGAGGAACACCGGUGGCGAAGGCGGCAUCCUGGACCGGCAUUGACGCUGAGGCGCGAAAGCUAGGGGAGCAAACGGG